rnacentral:rRNA from 1 species
ACGGGAGGCAGCAGUGGGGGAUAUUGCACAAUGGGGGAAACCCUGAUGCAGCGACGCCGCGUGAGUGAAGAAGUAUUUCGGUAUGUAAAGCUCUUUAAGCUGGAAAGAUAAUGACGGUACCAGCAGAAUAAGCCCCGGCUAACUACGUGCCAGCAGCCGCGGUAAUACGUAGGGGGCAAGCGUUAUCCGGAUUUACUGGGUGUAAAGGGAGCGUAGACGGUUUGGCAAGUCUGAAGUGAAAUGCGGGGGCUCAACUCCUGAACUGCUUUGGAAACUGUCGAACUAGAGUGCAGGAGAGGUAAGUGGAAUUCCUAGUGUAGCGGUGAAAUGCGUAGAUAUUAGGAGGAACACCAGUGGCGAAGGCGGCUUACUGGACUGUAACUGACGUUGAGGCUCGAAAGCGUGGGGAGCAAACAGGAUUAGAUACCCUGGUA